GUGCCGCGUCUGACCUCAGCUGCCUGCACUCCGGGCCAGAGAAGCUGCCUCCACCCGGCUGCGCCGUGGCGCUUGGAGGCGGGGAGCUCUCCUCACAGCCUCCGGCAGGUUCGCGGAUGUCCGCGCUCUCCCCGGAGACCCCUGGCCGGCCCAUCUUGGGCAGCAGGCGGCCGGGCUUGGCGAGAGGGGCAGGUGCCAGGGGGCGUGCCAGCCAGUCGAGAAAAGGUGCCAGGGGGGCGGGGAGGGCCGGGCAGGUGGCGGUGCUUCGGCGGCGGCGCCCUGCGAGGGCGGGUCGCGCUCACCUGGGUCAUGAGGCGGUCGGCGCCCGUGUUCUCCUCGUCCUUGAAGAUGAUGUCGGGAUUGUAGUUGGGGGACACAGUGGUGGUUCAGGAUCUCAAUCUCAAAUUCAGAUCUGCAUCCAUUCGGUCACCUGCAGUGGAAGGAGGGUGGAGAAGAGGCCCUCCUGCCACUUGCCCAGAUCAAUCUUGCUCUAAAUCCAUGGGAGCCGAGCCACAACAAGACAAGUUUCAGGAAUGCUGUUAGUCGAAUACCUGCCGGUGACUCAGGGCACAGCAGCCCCGGCUCAUGGAAAGAGCACCAGGCCUGGAAUCGGCCGAUCUGCACCCGAACGUGGUCUCUGAUACCUUCUACCCAUGUGGCCUUGGGUGUCCUUCUGCCAGUUUUAAACCAGUUCCUACUUUAAAAUGGCUUUGGGGGAGGACCCACAGGAGCCAUGCCGGUCCCCAAAUUGCCACACAGCACCCUCAGUGAGAAACAUCAAAGGCUCCCUCCUGGUGUUCCAUCCUCGCCCGAUAUGACAUGAUCAAGUGCCCUAGUGUCCGCAGGAGGAACGUCGUCUGCCUUUGGCCAAACAUACUGCUGCAUUAAUUUUCCCUUUAGACAAUCCAGACCCUGCAUCUCCUUUCGAUUCCACGUGGCCAUUGCCUAGGCCCUCUAUUCCCUCUGUCCUCCUCUUCCAAUCGUGUAAAUUACCCUGCCACUCUGAACUGGUACUUAUUAAAAAGAGCAACGUAAUGGACAUUAGCACCAGCAGAAAACCACCCAAGGUGGGUUAUUUGGGUCACAUCCACACAUCAUCAGAGUAUGACUCUACAUUACUGUCAUAUCCGGUAACUAAUGAAAAAGAAAUCCUUUCUGGCAAUACCUCUUCCCCCAGCCAGGGCCUUCCUGUUCCUCCCAUAUGUGACAUGGGACCCAUCGGUACUGCCGCGUGCCCUGGGCAGCGCCAGGCAGCAGUUGUAAAUGAAACUGGCAGGCUUUCCUCCUCCCGUGGUAGCAAAUCUUUUAGUCUUGAAUAAAGGAUCUCUUAACAUGCUCCUUCCUCCCAGGACCCCCGGCAGUACUGUGCUUGACCUCUGGCCACAGACCCAGACCCUGCAGGGCUUCCCCCACUCCCCGCCCCCCAGCACCGACUCAGCGCACCAUCCUGCUUACCCUUCAAGGCUUGGGGUGGGAGGGGGAAGCUGGAUGGAAGGCUAGUCAAGAGGGUUACCCUUACCCUACUCCAUUCUCCCUUCUCCUGUCGAUCCUAUCAGGGGUCCAUAAAGCGAGGAGGACUCUGGCCCGGGAGAGGGGGGUAGGGGUUAGGCAAACAGGCCAGGGAGGCAGUUGGUUGAAGUUUAACCACAAUAUUCUUGGUCUCUAUUGUUUUGAGUGAGGCCCAAUAUUUCCACAGCAGGAUUAUAGAAUCUGAUUAACCAUGUUAGACAACAAUGCCGAGCUGGGAUGGGCUUCCCCUUCCAGCUGCCAAUAUGAAAAAGUAAAUAUAACACCCAGAUUUCAGAAGGGACUCUCAGCAGCCCCCAAGCCCUCCUCCCCAGUUCUAGCCCCGCUUCUGUUUGGGGACCCAAAGUGAGGGGAGGACGAGCGUGGCAUCGCAAAUGCUCCUUUAACUCCUGGCCCUCGGCCCAGCAGGACAGGUAAUCCUGGUACAAUCUUCCCAGGGAACAACCUCCCAGACCAUCAGUGGACGUGGGAUAAGGAAGAAAAGGAGUCAAGGUCCUUCACUCAGUACAGGAAUGGCAGAGAGGAAGUAUCAAGGGAAGAUGUGAAAGACCAUGACUGCCUCCCAGAAAUCCGUCAUCUGGUGGCCUGGUCACACAUAUCCUCCAGUAUGGUUAAUGAGGUGACAAGUUCAAGGACAUUUGGCUCAGGGGCUGCAGCUGCCGGCCACGUGGGGCUACUGAGCAUUUCAAGUAUGGCUACAGCAAAGGAGGAGAGGAAUUUUUCAUUUCAUUUCAUUUGUAUUUAACUGAAGUAUUCACAAGAUGCGAGAGCUACCAUAUUGGAGGGCGGAACUCUAACCCCAGGGAGACCAAGUACUUCCGGAGCUACUCACCGC